GACGAACGCUGGCGGCGUGCUUAACACAUGCAAGUCGAACGGAAAGGCCCUGCUUUUGUGGGGUGCUCGAGUGGCGAACGGGUGAGUAACACGUGAGUAACCUGCCCUUGACUUUGGGAUAACUUCAGGAAACUGGGGCUAAUACCGGAUAGGAUCUCCUGCUGCAUGGUGGGGGUUGGAAAGUUUCGGCGGUUGGGGAUGGACUCGCGGCUUAUCAGCUUGUUGGUGGGGUAGUGGCUUACCAAGGCUUUGACGGGUAGCCGGCCUGAGAGGGUGACCGGCCACAUGGGGACUGAGGUACGGCCCAGACUCCUACGGGAGACAGCAGGGGGGAAUAUUGCACAGUGGGCGGAAGCCGGAGGCAGCAACGCUGGGUGCGUGAUGACGGCUUUCUGGGUGUAAACCGCUUUCGCCUGUGACGAAGCGGGAGUGACGGUAAUGGGUAAAGAAGCACCGGCUAACUACGUG
rnacentral:rRNA from 1 species